GUCCAUGGUGGUGCCAGCGUCACUCUGGUGCUGCAAAAUCUAAUACAGGCUCCUCUCUCCUGCCAGCAAACUGAAGGCACCUCUGGAACUGGAAUCAGGCCUCCUGCGAACUAUCCUGUACAGCGUUUUUACCAUGCGCCCAGGGAAGGACACCGCUCAUUUCCGGACUCUACUGGACAUCAUGCUGACGGAAACCCCCACCAUAGACAAGCUGCAGCAUCUUUUGGAGGGAGACCCUGAGUACAGGAGGAUCCUCACGGAAUCCGCUCUUCUGUCCUAUGGGCACUGCAGUUCCCGGAGGAACAUCUAAAUAGUGCCACAAAGAACUGAAUACCAUGGAAUACCGAAUAACAUUAGAAGUUUUGAAUGAUGUUUUGUCGCAGCUGGCUUCACUAUCCACGCUGGUCCAGAAACGGGGCCUUACACCUCUUGAAGCAUUUCACCUUGCCUGAGGUAAAUUGAACAAGAUCAGAAGACAGUACCUUGGAGAUUCAGUCUUAUGGAGUGACAAAGUUAAGGCUCUCUUAGAUAUGAGCUCCAGAGGAUGAAGUCCAGGAGUGGUCCACUUUUGAUUGUGCAGCAAUAGUUAAGUGUGACUUCAAUUUUGACUUCAUCAGUGUGACUUCAUCAGUUAAGUGUGACUUCAUCAGAUCAAAUCCCUAAAUUAAAAAUACAAAGACUGUCUUGCUGAAGAGAUUGUUAUAAUCAAUCAGUACAAUGACUUCAAGUUUGCAGUAGCCGAAAGAAUAAAAAGCCAAUUGGUUUUAAGUUUCCUGGAUAUGGUGACAUUUGCUCACCAGAAUGAACAGUUUCACGAUCUUGCAAACUGAUGGAUAUUGGAGGAACAUUCCUAGCAUCAAGUGCAGACUGUGAGCGUAGCUUUAGCUUAAUGAACACUCAAAAAAAUAAACUACGGAAUCAUUUACAAGUAGAUCAUUUGGACAUGCUGAUGUGUAUUAAGAGUUACCAGCUUGAUGGAGGACUGUUAGAUCUGGACAGAGUUUAUAUUGAAUGGGCAAAUAAAAAAGAUCGCAGGGAAAAACAGUAAGGUUUAGUUUAGCAGUCUUUGACAUUUCGACC